GAUGAAGAACGUAGCGAAAUGCGAUAAGUAGUGUGAAUUGCAGAAUUCAGUGAAUCAUCGAAUCUUUGAACGCACAUUGCGCCCCUUGGUAUCCCGAGGGGCAUGCCUGUUCGAGCGUCAUUUCACCACUCAAGCCUGGCUUGGUGUUGGGCGACGUCCUCUUUGGGGACGCGCCUCGAAACGCUCGGCGGCGUGGCACCGGCUUUAAGCGUAGCAGAAUCUUUCGCUUUGGAAGUCGGGGCCCCGUCUGCCGGAAGACCUGCUCGCAAGGUUGACCUCGGAUCAGGCAGGGAUACCCGCUGAACUUAAGCAUAUCAAUAAGCGACGA
rnacentral:misc_RNA from 1 species